rnacentral:misc_RNA from 1 species
UAAUAAGUGUUUUAUGGCACUUUUUAAAUCCAUAUCCACCUUGUGUGCAAUGUUAGUCGAUCUUCUUCACGGAGAUCGACCAAACAUCAACCUUUAUCUUUUAACUCUUUGUCUGAAAAAUAUUAUGAAUAAACAAUUCAAAAUA